AACGAACGCUGGCGGCAUGCCUAACACAUGCAAGUCGAACGAGACCUUCGGGUCUAGUGGCGCACGGGUGCGUAACGCGUGGGAACCUGCCUUUAGGUUCGGAAUAACUCAGAGAAAUUUGAGCUAAUACCGGAUGAUGUCUUCGGACCAAAGAUUUAUCGCCUUUAGAUGGGCCCGCGUUGGAUUAGCUAGUUGGUGGGGUAAAGGCCUACCAAGGCAACGAUCCAUAGCUGGUCUGAGAGGAUGAUCAGCCACACUGGGACUGAGACACGGCCCAGACUCCUACGGGAGGCAGCAGUGGGGAAUAUUGGACAAUGGGCGAAAGCCUGAUCCAGCAAUGCCGCGUGAGUGAUGAAGGCCUUAGGGUUGUAAAGCUCUUUUACCCGAGAUGAUAAUGACAGUAUCGGGAGAAUAAGCUCCGGCUAACUCCGUG
rnacentral:rRNA from 1 species